UUCUCUCUUGCCUAGUUAAGAUUCUGAAAUUUUUAGGAAAGUUAUGUGAAUAGUCAAGUGAAUUACAUAGCUUCCAUCUACUUAGUGAAUGUUCAUGUCUAAUUCUGUAUUUAAGGAUCGUUCUGGUGCAUGCUUAUAUUAUAGAGGAAGGACAGUUUUUAUUUAAACAUAUUUAAGACUGGAAAUUUAGGAUAGAAUGUUCUCUGGUUAAUGGUCAUUGCUUUUAUUUUAUACAGAAAGAUUGAGCGGGUGGAGCUGUGCUGCAUGCUGACGGUUGGUGAACAUGUUCCACAUGCCCUGCUGCUCAGGCAUUCCUGCUGCCUGGGACCUAGACGACGACCCAACCCUGAUGCUGCUGCUUUUAAUUAUUGAGUGCAGUUCUGCCAUAAUGAGACAGAAAGAUUGAGUAGCGGGAGGAGCUAUUCUGCGUGCUGACGGUUGGCGGCAUGUUUGCUCAGGCAUUCCUGCUGCCUGGGACCAAGACGAUGACCCAAGCCUGAUGCUGCUGCUGCAUGUCAUUAUUGAGUGCAGUUCUGCACUUUGAUCUGCCAUAGUGAGCUCAGGGCGUCUUUGAAGGCGAGGAUGGGGUGCAGGAAUAACGACUUGCUCCACCUGAACAACGCUACUGAUGCUACUGGUGACCGGCCACCACUCCGAGCUGCUGCUGCUGGUGAGGGACAAAGACGGCGGGAGGAGCUGCGCCUCUUGCUGGUGGGCUGCGCCCACAGCCAUGCUCUUGCUCGCAGUGGCCCCGGACCAAGACCACCGCGGCCGACACGCUGUGUGGACCCCUGCCCCGGCCUAGCGGCAGUAUGGCCAAAGACUGCUGCUCCUUUUCCUUGGCGAGUUGGACUGAAAACAGAAAGAAAUUAUCCUGUUGUGAGUGAGCAGCAGACUCCCCAAGGAUGGAUCAGUACGAGGUGUUCGCACAGAUUGGGAAAUGAGCAUGGAUAAGUACGAGGUGUUGGAACAUAUUGGUGAUGGAGCAUUUGACUCUGGUCUAUUAGUGAGGCACGAGGUGGGGAAGAAGUAUUUGCUGAAGAAGAUCCAGCUAGCGCCACAAACUGACCGCACUCACCGGUCUGCCUUGAAGGAGGUAAAUCCUCUUCCGCUUCAUCUUUACAAACUAUAAGUGGACAUUUGUAAUGUGCAAUGGUAUGAGUGAGUUACCUGGCAAAAUAAAUGUUCAAGUGUCCAAAAUAGAGGAAAGAGCUAAAAGUAUCAGUACUAAACUACUCCAGAGAAGUGGCACCGUUCAAUGUGGAUGCUCGAGCAACUCCAUGGCUCACGAUUCUGGGCCUGUA